rnacentral:rRNA from 1 species
ACGCUGGCGGCGUGCCUGAGACAUGCAAGUCGUGGGAGAAAGUCGGGGCAACUCGGCGAGUAAACCGGCGCACGGGUGAGUAACACGUGGAUAACCUGCCCUCGAGACUGGGAUAACCCGUCGAAAGACGGACUAAUACCAGAUAAGACCACGGGGAGUUCGCUUCCUGGGGUAAAAGGUGGCCUCUGCUCCUGCAAGCUAUCACUCGAAGAGGGGUCCGCGUCCUAUCAGCUAGUUGGUGAGGUGACGGCUCACCAAGGCAAAGACGGGUAGCUGGUCUGAGAGGAUGGCCAGCCACACUGGGACCGAGACACGGCUCAGAGUCCUACGGGAUGCAGCAGUCAGGAAUAUUGCGCAAUGGAGGAAACUCUGACGCAGCGACGCCGCGUGGGUGAUGAAGGCCUUCGGGUCGUAAAGCCCUGUCGGAGGGGAAGAAGAGUUUGCUGGCUAAUAUCCAGCAGACCCUUGACGGUACCCUCAAAGGAAGCACCGGCUAACUCCGUGCCAGCAGCCGCGGUAAGACGGAGGGUGCUAGCGUUGUUCGGAUUGACUGGGCGUAAAGGGCGUGUANGCGGUUGGCCCAGUCCGGUGUGAAAGCCCGAGGCUUUACCUCGGAAGUGCAUCGGAA